UACGUAGGGUGCAAGCGUUUGUCCGGAAUUAUUGGGCGUAAAGAGCUCGUAGGCGGUUUGUCGCGUCUGCCGUGAAAGUCCGGGGCUCAACUCCGGAUCUGCGGUGGGUACGGGCAGACUAGAGUGAUGUAGGGGAGACUGGAAUUCCUGGUGUAGCGGUGAAAUGCGCAGAUAUCAGGAGGAACACCGAUGGCGAAGGCAGGUCUCUGGGCAUUAACUGACGCUGAGGAGCGAAAGCAUGGGGGGCGAACAGG
rnacentral:rRNA from 1 species